AGAUGCGAUCAUACCAGCACUAAAGCAUCAGAUCCCAUCAGAACUCCAAAGUUAAGCGUGCUUGGGCGAGAGUAGUACUAGGAUGGGUGACCUCCUGGGAAGUCCUCAUGUUGCAUUCC
rnacentral:rRNA from 1 species